rnacentral:hammerhead_ribozyme from 1 species
AUCCAGCUAACGACUCCCGAAUAGGACGAAACACACGUCCUGGAU